UGGGGAAUAUUGCACAAUGGGCGAAAGCCUGAUGCAGCAACGCCGCGUGAAGGAUGGAGGCCUUUGGGUCGUAAACUUCUGUCCUUGGGGAAGAAAAAAAUGACGGUACCCCUGGAGGAAGUCCCGGCUAACUACGUGCCAGCAGCCGCGGUAAUACGUAGGGGGCGAGCGUUAUCCGGAAUUAUGGGGCGUAAAGAGUACGUAGGUGGUUUUUUAAGCGCAGGGUUUAAGGCGAUGGCUAAACUGUCGUGCGCCCUGUGAACUGGAAGACUUGAGUACAGGAGAGGAAAGCGGAAUUCCUAGUGUAGCGGUGAAAUGCAUAGAUAUUAGGAGGAACACCAGUGGCGAAGGCGGCUUUCUGGACUGUAACUGACACUGAGGUACGAAAGCGUGGGGAGCAAACA
rnacentral:rRNA from 1 species